GACGAACGCUGGCGGCGUGCUUAACACAUGCAAGUCGAACGGGCCUGUCUUCUUUUUUGGGGGUGGGUUGAGUGGCGAACGGGUGAGUAUCACGUGAGUAACCUGCCCUUCGGUCCUGGAUAACCGCUCGAAAGGGCGGCUAAUACGGGGUGGUCCGGUUGGUCCGCAUGGGCUGGUCGGGAUAGAUUCACUGUUUUUGGUGUUUCGGCGGGGGAUGGGCUCGCGGCCUAUCAGCUUGUUGGUGGGGUGAUGGCCUACCAAGGCGGUGACGGGUAGCCGGCCUGAGAGGGUGGGCGGCCACACUGGGACUGAGAUACGGCCCAGACUCCUGCGGGAGGCAGCAGUGGGGGGUAUUGCACAAUGGGCGGAAGCCUGAUGCAGCGACGUCGCGUGAGGGAGGGAGGCCUUCGGGUUGUGAACCUCUGUUUCCGGUGGUGAAGGCCCUGUCCGUGUGGUGGGGUUGACGGUAGCCGGGGAUGAAGCGCCGGCUAACUACGUG
rnacentral:rRNA from 1 species